AAAACGACUCUCGGCAACGGAUAUCUCGGCUCUCGCAUCGAUGAAGAACGUAGCGAAAUGCGAUACUUGGUGUGAAUUGCAGAAUCCCGUGAACCAUCGAGUCUUUGAACGCAAGUUGCGCCCCAAGCCUUCUGGCCGAGGGCACGUCUGCCUGGGGUGUCACAA
rnacentral:rRNA from 1 species